GUCGUAACAAGGUAGCCGUAGGGGAACCUGCGGCUGGAUCACCUCCUUAACUAAAGCACUAAGUGAGAAUUCACAGCAAGUUGUUCUUGUGUAUAAAUAAGCUAAUUCGAGGAUGAGCAAAGCGAUGCUUUGUAAUUUUCGUUCAGGGUCUAUAGCUCAGUUGGUUAGAGCACUGCCUUGAUAAGGCAGGGGUCAUAAGUUCAAGUCUUAUUAGACCCACCACCUCUUACUUAGGGGCCAUAGCUCAGUUGGUAGAGCGCCUGCCUUGCACGCAGGAGGUCAGGAGUUCGACUCUCCUUGGCUCCACCAUAAUUAGCUUAACGUUAUAAAGCAGACAGAGUAAUUUAGUCAGUGUAUUGAGAGAUUACUUCAAUCUGUUUUAUCAGAAAUCACGACCUGACGAGGGUCUGAUAAUUCAAUAACAACAUAGAGAAAUGAGUCUGGGUUAAUUAUCAAGUUCCAACGAAGAUAAUUAACCUUAGUAAUCAGCCAAUCAGACCCAAAGAAAUGAUUGGAAUAACUGAUUACUUAAAAGUAAAGAGAACUGAAUCAAGCGUAAACAUAGGUGAAGAUCGUUACCAUUACCUAUACGACCCUUUAGGGUUGUAUAGUCAAGUAAUGAAGUGCACAUGGUGGAUGCCUUGGCAGUCAGAGGCGAUGAAAGACGUGACAGCCUGCGAAAAGCGUCGGGGAGGCGGCAAUAUCCUGUGAUCCGGCGAUAU
rnacentral:misc_RNA from 1 species